UGCCUGUUCUUGUGCCAGUACCAAACUGUUGGAACAAUACAGAGAUUAGCAUGGCCCCUGCACAAGGAUGACACACAAAUUUAUGAAGAGGUGAUGACUUUU